rnacentral:rRNA from 1 species
GACGAACGCUGGCGGCGUGCUUAACACAUGCAAGUCGAACGGUGAAGCCCUGCUCUUGUGGGGUGCUCGUGUGGCGAACGCGUGUGUAACACGUGAGUGUACUGCGCUUGUCUUUGGGGUAUCUUCCGGAAACUGUGGCUCAUACCCUAUAGGUGCUACUCCUCCAUGGUGGGGGUUGUGGAGUUUUGUCGGUUGGGGAUGGACUCGCGGCUUAUCAGCUUGUUGGUGGGGUAAUGGCUUACCAAGGCGAUGACGGGUAGCCGGCCUGAGAGGGUGACCGGCCACACUGGGACUGAGACACGGCCCAGACUCCUACGGGAGGCAGCAGUGGGGAAUAUUGCACAAUGGGCGGAAGCCUGAUGCAGCGACGCCGCGUGAGGGAUGACGGCCUUCGGGUUGUAAACCUCUUUCAGCACGGAAGAAGCGAGAGUGACGGUAAGUGCAGAAGAAGCGCCGGCUAACUACGUG